rnacentral:rRNA from 1 species
UACGUAGGGUGCAAGCGUUGUCCGGAAUUAUUGGGCGUAAAGAGCUCGUAGGCGGCUUGUCACGUCGACUGUGAAAACCCGGGGCUCAACUCCGGGCCUGCAGUCGAUACGGGCUGGCUUGAGUGCGGUAGGGGAGACUGGAAUUCCUGGUGUAGCGGUGAAAUGCGCAGAUAUCAGGAGGAACACCGGUGGCGAAGGCGGGUCUCUGGGCCGAUACUGACGCUGAGGAGCGAAAGCGUGGGGAGCGAACAGG